AGCCUGCCUGACCAGGCCCUUCCUCGAGUCCUGGCCCUCGCCGCUCACCCAGAUGGGGGCCGGCCAGACGGCCAGCAGCAGAGCAGCUAUCAGUCGGCUUGCGCGGUCCCAGCUUCAGACGCAUGUUCUUACCGGCUUCUGAAGAACCCACACACCUCUUCUCACACCGGAUGUGCUUCUGACUCUCCCAGGGUCCAGUCCAGACUCCUCACUCAGCGUCUGCCCGUCGAAGGAAGCUCCGCCUCUGCGUUCCGCUUAAAGCCAGUCCUCAUUGGCCGUUGGCCGCACCUCUACCUUGCCAUUGGCUGUACGUGCGUAAACAACGGCUGCUUACUUCAGAGCCAUUCGCUACUGCCCUUGUCAGUCAAGACUCUGGCCGCCAACCGGUGUCGUAGCAAAAGGUCUCCGCCUCUUCCCCGUAGUUGGGAAAGACCGCGGUCUAACACCGCCCCUAGUGGAGGAAGUGGAGAGGGGCAGGCCCCACCCAGAUACCUGACUAGUCGCGGAACCCCUACAACGCUAGAUGGGAAAGCGCGGCUAAGUCCUGGGAUUCUGCUUUUAAGCUUCUCAUGGAAUGUUAAAGCGGGAAAGAAAUUCAGAUAACACGUAAAAAAGGGCUCUCACAGGAGUCAAUCUACCUUUAAUCUUGCCGAGUUUAGGCUUUAGAGCACUCCUGGUAGGCUCAGCGAACUGUCCAGGAAUGCGAGGAAAAUAUAGCAGCCCCAGUCCUGCAUCGGAAGCACCGACACCUUCUAGCCCAAGUGGUGGUCCUGGGGCCGCGGGCGGGGCUGACGGGCUUUCAGAAUCACCUUGCCUGCUUGGGGGAAAUGGGCGACAACUUAACAAUCAUUUCGGUCUGUGAAAGUAGGGAGAGGGAACGAGGGUGGCGACCUGGCAAAACUGCCCGGGCAGCCCGGAGAAACUGAACCAAGAGAGAUGAGAGGGCUGGAGUUACCCAAGGGCUUGUCCCGGGCCAGAAGCAUCACCUGUGCAAAAACUCAUAGUAAGGAGUUGUGACCCUGAUUAAAAAAAAAAAAAGUUUAUACACUGUCAAAUUUUUUAACUCGUUUUUUUACUAAUUUAUCUAAUAUCUCUAUAAGAAUAGUACAAAAUUGACAUAUGAAGAGGCAAAGAGUAUGCAGCCAAAAAAAUGUAGUAAAAAAAAAGAGUUUAUAGUGGUUGCCAGUCAGUUUAAAAUACUCCUUUUUUUUCUGGAUUGUGUGACGUUUGCUGUUUUGUCAGCAUUUUAAAAUAGACAAUGAUUCUUUUUCUUAUUCUAAAUAAAUAUUGACUUAUUA